rnacentral:rRNA from 1 species
UGCUUCUUGAACGAAAUAAGAAGUAAUCUCCUGCCCAGUGAAUAAAUUUUUAACGGCCGCGGUACCUUAACCGUGCAAAGGUAGCAUAAUCACUUGCCCAUUAAUUGUGGGCUAGAAUGAAAGGGGUAACGAAAUAAGGACUGUCUCAAUAAAUUCAAUAAAAACUAAUAUUUAAGUGAAGAAGCUUAAAUUAUAAUAGAGGACAAGAAGACCCUAUAGAGCUUUAUUUUUACUACAUAAAAUAUGUAGAAAAAUUCGGUUGGGGCGACCAAGGAUAAAUCAUCCUAAUCAUAUUAGAUACAUAUAUCACUUAAAAGAUCCAUUCAAUGAUCAAUAAAUCCAGCUACCUUAGGGAUAACAGGCUAAUCCCAUUUUAGAGCUCUUAUCAACAAUGGGGAUUGGCACCUCGAUGUUGGCUUAAAAUAUCUCUAUGGCGCAAAAGUCAUAUAAAGAAGGUUUGUUCAACCUAUAAUAUUU